AAACUUUGGAUGCACUAGUUAAGGGAGCAGUAUCGCAGGUAAGAUAUUGCAUUUUUCAUAUAAUUUAUAAUAUAUAAUCAUAUUUAUCACUUUAUAUUAUAAAUUAUAUAAAAAAUGCAAUAUCUAACCUGUGAUACUGCUCCCUCAGCUACUGCAUCCAAAGUUU